UGGGCUUCUCCCACCUCGCUACAGGAGGCAGGGGCUCGUGGCAGGCAUCUGGCCGCCAUGGCCAUUCCCUGGCCCCGUGCCGGCCAUCUGCCGGCUCCCCUGGAGCAUAAAGGCCGACCCCACGACCCCCCAGGCGAACCCUAGCCCCCACUUGCCCUCCCCUCGCGCCGCUUCGCCCUCUCCCUCUCUGUCUUGUUCGCCUGAGCGCGGCCGCCGACGUGCCGCCGUCGAUCCCGCGGCCACCAACCACCGUUCGCCGCAUCGAUUAGUCCAGGAGGAUCGUCACCGUCGACUACGUCUGUCCAGAGUGUCAAUUCGAGCGGGGCCGCCCUGUACGCUCGCCAUCGACCUCGUUUCCACUGCAUACAUCCUCGCCGUCCGCGGUCGAUUGCCACCGCUCCUGUCCGUCCCCCGACCUCUCCGAGCACGUCAUCUACCCCGUGCUGAGGAGUUUCGUGAGAGGAAAGGAUCCAUGAGGGCCAUGACAUAACGAGCUAAGAGCUUUGGGGAUCGAAGUACUUCUAGAUCUGAGGGGAGGAUGGAGCUGUGUGAGAUGGCGUGUCGGGGUAUUACCCGUGAAGGAUGCUACUAACUACUGAGUACUGACCAAGCAAUAAACUGGAAGAUUCCAUCAGGGAAAAAGAACGAAGUCGUUGUCCGAGGAAGAAGACCCAAGACCCAGGGUGCUUUGUGAUUCGUGUUGAGACGUGGCAUUCCUUGGACAGCGUAAAAAAGACCAGGUCUCUUAGAAUUUUUUUCCCGGUUUGUGGAGAUGAUGGCACCAGUAUUUAAUAGGGAUCUAUGAAAAUGUGUUGGCAUAUGAUCCAGUACAUAAAUUGAUUGAGUUGGUUUUCUGGGUUGAUUUCCUGGUACCUGAGUAUUUAGACUGCC